CUUACAGGCAACACUGCAUUACUCAAUUUGCUAAUCAUUUCAGAUUCAUCCUUGUGGUCAUUGUUGUCCUUUUGGGAAAUCUCAGCUUCAUGUUCUUCUGAUUGACGUUUUUUCUUACGCAGCAUGAGGGUUUUAAACCGGCGCUUCACAGUCAUGCACACAUUGCAUGUGCAUGUGGGCUUGUGCUUGCCUUUACCACUAGGUGGCUGAAUGCACACAAUACAAGUACAACCAGAGCGGUGCCGGGGAUGCUUUGUAGUGGCUCCAACUGAUGGCUCACCGGUGUCACCUAUAUUGUCUCCUAGCACUGCAGCACUAGCCA
rnacentral:misc_RNA from 1 species